UACGUAGGGUGCGAGCGUUAAUCGGAAUUACUGGGAGUAAAGGGUGCGCAGGCGGUUCUGCAAGUCCGGCGUGAAAUCCCCGGGCUUAACCUGGGAAUGGCGCUUGAAACUACGGGACUGGAGGAUGGCAGAGGGAGGUGGAAUUCCACGUGUAGCGGUGAAAUGCGUAGAGAUGUGGAGGAACACCGAUGGCGAAGGCAGCCUCCUGGGCCAAUACUGACGCUCAUGCACGAAAGCGUGGGGAGCAAACAGG
rnacentral:rRNA from 1 species